AGGCAGGGGACCUCCUGGAAAGGGUGAGAAAACUGACUUCCACCUGCUGCAGUUUUGGGUCUGUGCGUCACCAUAACCCUCAAGCUAAAACACCGGACCCGGCCAGCUGGGGAAAAAGCAUCUAGCAUGGCUCUGAUCCUCAUACUCAGAGCACAUGAUGCUGAGGUUACAUCUGUCAGAAUAUUUCAUGACAGGAGCAGGAAAAGUAACGAAAGCCAAGUGAGUCCUGAUUUUCUUUCCCUGACUAUUCUCAGAGGACCACUUGGCAUGCUAAGGAAGGGUUCUUCUCUGAGACUCUGGAGAAAAGACCUCCAAGUUAAG
ensembl:lincRNA 1700072O05Rik RIKEN cDNA 1700072O05 gene